ensembl:lncRNA
AUAUACCAAUAAAAGAAUUUAACAACAAAAUAAAUUGAUGGUUAUAACUGAUAUGUGUUUAUUUAUCCUUGUCAUGACUUUUUCUUUUUGUUGGAUUCUCCCCCUUUGUGUUUAAUUUCUUGCCGUCCCUGAUGCAUUCAUUCUGCUGGCUUCCUGUGGUUGUGAUCUUUGUUUUCUUUCCCUAGGAUAUUGUUAAAAUUUUUUGGAGUGCUGCUUUGGUAUUCAUGAAGUUCCUAAGGUGCUCUUUGUCAUGAAAGCAUCUCAUUUCUCCAUCCAUUUUGAAAGAUAGUUUUUCAGGGUAUAGCAAUGUAGGUUGGAGGUUGAUUUCAUUUAGGACUUGAAAUAUGUCACUGCAUGCUCUUCUUUCCUUGUGGGUUUGUAUUGAGAAGUCUGCUGUGAUUCUGAUGGGCUUUCCUUUGUAUGUGAUUUAUUUCUUUUCUCUAACUGCUUGUAGAAUUUUGUUCUGAUGGCUUUCUGGAAUCUCAACUAUUAUAUCCCUAUGUGUAGAUAUUUUUGAUCAUGGCUAUUUGGAAUCCUAUAUGCCUCACUUAUCUGUAUGGCAAAUUCUUUUCCCCUGCUUGGGAAGUUUUCUGCCAUUACAUCUGUGAACAGCUUUUUUAUGUCAUCUGCACUCUGUCCUGUUUCUUCAUUGACUCUCAUCAGUCUUAUGUUAUUCUUCUUUGCAUUGUCUAGCAACUGCUGGAUUUUCUUGUCAUCCCUUACUAUUUUUAAGAAAAUUUUCUUUUCGUGGUUACUAAUUGCAAUCCUAUCUUCUAUAUCUGAAAUUUCUUCUUCACAUUGGCUCAUUCUGCUGGGUAAACAUUCAAUGGAGUUUUUAAUCUGCUGGAAAUUUGCUUGCAUCUGUUUUAUGGAUUCCAUUUGUUUCCUAUGUUGGGAUUCCAUCAUGUUCCUCAACUUCUCUAUUUUUUUUAAAUCUGUGUACACUCUAGAUUUAUUAAUCAUUUCUUAUACUAUGGGCACAAUCUCUUCUGUUAUUUGAGAAUUUAUUUCUGAUUUCACUUUUUCCAGGUCCUCUUUCAUUGCCAGUCAGGGAGUCCAGGUGUUUGAGUAUCAGAUUGUUCCAUCUCAUUUUCCUUUGGGGUUGCUUUAGGUGAUCUGGAAGUCUGGUUUUGAGACUUAUUUAUGUGUCUCUCAUUUCAACAGAUGCAGCCUGCUGUGCCUUUGUUGAGGUGACUUUUUGCUCACCAAGUGGUCUUCAAUUCGCAGCAAGCCUCUGAGCAACCUUUGCUCUGCUGAUCAGCAUACACCAAUUCCUGGGUUCAUGGUGGUGGCCUUCUGGAUCCAUGAGCUGACCUCUUGUCUGCAUGGGCUUCUGGAUGGGGCCUGAGCACACUUGGGAUGGUAUCUAGGCAUGCCUCUCACAGGGGCCCAUAUGUAGCUAUUGUCAGGGAGGGCCUUUGGUUGGGGGCUGUGCACUCCAGUUCCUGUUAUCUGCACAGGCUUUGGCUAGGGUCUCCACACACUUAUCAAUGGUAUUGCGGCAAACCUCUGGCUAUUGCUUGUGCCCUUGUAGCUCUUUUCCAGGCAGGCCCUUGGCUGUGGCUGAUGGUAUAGUGGGCCUCUGGCUGAAGCUUAUGUGCCUGUCUAGUUCUUUUCUGGGCAGGCCUUUGGCUUGGGUGUGUGUGCCUGAGCCUCUGGGGUCUGAGUGGAGCCCUGGCUGGGAUCUGCCUGUAGCUGCACUGGUCUGGUUCACAGUUUACUGUUUAUUUUCAUAAGCACAGGUUUUAUUUCUUAAUGGGUAGCUACUCAAUGUUUAAAAUCAAUUAUAUGUACAAUCUUUAGAAAAAAUUUAUUAGAUUCUUUUGCAUAUUCUUCUCAUGUAACAUUUGCUCAAUGAGACACUGGCUUCAGGUCCACCUUUCACAUUUUAUUAGAAAUAUGAUGAAACUGACUGUCUUCUGAAUUCCUUCAUUACUUGCUAAGUAUAAAUCAAGGCAGAAUCAUCCAUACUGUCCCAUGGGAGCCAGUUUACUUCCUUUGUGAAACAUUUAUGUUUUGACUUCAGAUUAUAGCAAUAUUUCUAAAAAUCAUUGGAAUAUUCCAACUACCUGACAGUUUAACGUUUGCUUAUGUUUAUUCCAUUGAUUCAACAUCCAAUAAAGGCCUACACCUGUGAAUUAAGUGGGAUACAGCAUCCACACUUACUUUCUCAAGAUGGGCCAUGCUGAUAGGAUUUUAAUUGACCAAACUUCUCCUUAAGUUCUAAAGCUGUAUUUCCUGCUUUGGGUAAGAAAAUAUUACUUCUUAUUCUGAAAUGAAAUACUUUAAUUUCACAUAUAGGAAGUAAAAGAGUAUGACAAUAUAAACAUGUCCUAAAUGCAAAUUUCUCUGAGAACAUUAAGUUAAUAAACUGUAAGGCUAUUUGUUGGAAUAUACACAUACCCUUUAAUUUAUGUUAGUUUAUAUUCCAGUGAACCAUCACAAGUUGAAGAUGUAUGUAAUAUACUAUACGUACCAAGCAACUCAGCCUACCAUAUAUAGUUAUUUACUUUUAGGAAUUGAUCAUAUGGUCAUUCAGUGAGAGCUACAACUCACUGCUGAGAGAGAGAGAGAGAGAGAAGAGAAUAUGAAUCAUACUUCUAAUUGCUGGUCUAGGAGAACAACAGAAUAAUUAAAAUUUAAACUUGGGUUUCUACAGAAUGCAUAUCUACUACAAAAGCUAAUAAAUUAAUUUUCUAAAGCUGAUAAAAUUAUUUCCUAAAAACUACAGAUAACAUCAUACUAAAUGCUAUAAAAUUGACAGUGUCCCCUGAAGAUCAGAAACAAGAAAAGAAUAUCUGCUCUUGCCACUCUCAUUUAAAUGUGACAUGGAAAUUCUAGCUGGUAAAACUAUGAAAGGAUUUAAAAAAAAAUAUAGCGGAAAAAGAAAAUGUCUUGAUUCAUAGAUGCCUUAGUGGUCUAUGCUAAAAAAAAAGUCCAAAGAUCUGCUAACUUGAAUAAGUGGAUAUUUAACAAGUCCACAGGAUACAAAACCAAUUGUAUUUCUACCAAGUAGUAUCAGUAAUUGAAAUUCUGGAAAGAAUCGCUUAUAAAAAUACCUUAAUAAUAAUAAAAAAACCUUACUAUUUAUAAUGCCUUAAUAGUAAAUAUGUACAGGCAAUUCCACUGAAAUAUGUGCAAGAAGGUUUUGCAGUGAAAACCAUAAAAUAUUUAGUAAGGAAAAUCAAAUACAUCCUAAAUUUAUUAAUAGAUAUCUGCGCCCUGUGUUGGAAUAUAAAAUAUUGCUAAAAUAUCAGAGUUCCUCUAAAUUUUCUGUAGAUUCAGGGUAAUCUUAGUCAAUAUACAAUAGCAAUUUAUGUAUAAAAGCUAGCAAAUUGAUUCUAAAAUUUUUAUAGAACUAGACAGAUAAUUUUUCAAAGAGCAAAUUUCAAAGAUUUUUGCUACCUGAUUGUAAGAAUGACUAUAAAAUAUAAUUAUCAUUAUAUUAUGCUACUGUCAAAUGUAUGAACCCAUAAAUCAAAAGCACAGGAUAGAAAAUGUGUAAGUAAACUAGCAUAUAUGGUCAUUUGAAGAUUGAUAGAAGUUCAAAAAGUUGUAGUAAGAAUGGGUACUAUUUACAAUGAAGUUGCAAAAAUAGAACAUCUGUAUAAAAAAAACUACGUCUUUACCACUAAUUGUACCAUGUACAAAAUUAGUACUAAACAUAUAAGAUAUCUAAGAAAAACACAGAGGGAAAUAAAUCUUUAUGACCUUAGGUCCAUGAAUUAGGCAGAGAUUUAUUAUGUAUGACAAAAUGAUAUGAGAACAAGAACAUAAAAUACAGAUAAGUUGCAAUUCAUUUGAAUUAAAAUUUUCUGUAAUUUUAACCCUACAAUGAUGGAAAGGCAAAGCUACAAAUUAUGAAAUGUGUACUGAAAUCACAAGAUGCUACCAUAUACCAAUUGGAUUUUUCCAAAUAAGAGAUUUGAUAAUAUGAAACAUUUUGAACUUUUGUUUAGCCCUGGUGUAGGUACAAAAUUGUAUAUUCCUUUUGGAGAAGAGGAAUGUAGUUUCAUAUCAGAAUAACAGAAUUAGUAUGUGAUCCAACAUUUCCACUCAAAGCUUUUUGCCAAAGAAAAUUAAGGGUAAAGUUUAAGGUUUCUUAAAGAAAAAAAAAACCUGGCUGUAGAUUACCACAAAGAAAUUAUGCUUGUCUCCAGCUUCUGAACCUCAGUCUAUAACACUGAUUCUUAGCUGAAUUUCUAGCCUGCCAGAGUGAAUCUCUUUGAAGAAGCUUAAAUACUAAGGUGAAGACGGGGUAUAGAACAUGUUUUAUUUCAUAUUUUAUUUUACUGAUUUAUUCUCUUAAAUAUUUAAACAUUGGGGUAAAGUGUGUUGGUACCCCUCUACAUUAUUCUUGCUUUUGUCCCCAGUGAAAGGUCUGGAUGAAUUUUACCAGACUUUAAUUAAUUCAUUGACUUGGAAGAAGAAUACCCUAAGCUCUACAUAAGUAUGUGAUUAGUAGCUUCAAUUUAAAUGGGCAAAUUUACUUAAAAGUAGCAUACAUAUAUGCAUAUGUGAUUAAAUUAUUAUUUAAAGAUAUUAGAGGGUGCUUUAGUCAUCUCUGGUUAUCAUUUUUUAAAAUGCCAUAGAGUGAGAAGAAAACCACCUGCAAGCCAGGGCUCUUAUCAGAAUUCUACUUUAUCUUAGUCUUACAUUUCUGGGAUCCAGAAUGAUAAGAAAUAUAUUGUUCAGUGUAUGGUAUUUUUUUAUGGCUGCUCAAGAAGUUUGAUAUAGAUUUUGGCACUGAGAGGUGCGUUUGUAAGAAACAACUAAAAUUGUGAAAGUAGUUUUGUAAUUGAGUAAUGGACAGAGGCUGGAAGAGUCUCGAGGUCCCUGCUGGAAAAGGCUUAGAUUGAUCUGAAUGAGUUAGCUCUGGUGAUUUUGGAGCCUGGGGAGUCUAGGAAGCUUCCCAGGAUAGAGCUCUAUUUAGUCUGAGUCCAGAGGUCUGAGGAGUAAGGGAUCUUUUGAUACAAGUUCUAGUCUGAGUCCAAGUCCACAAAGAAAAGAACAGUGUUCCACCUCUAGGUCAGUGAAACAGAGACAACAAGUUCUUUGUCACUCUGCUUUUUAUUCUAUUCAGGCCCUCAGUGAGUUUGAUGAAGGCCCCCCCAUAUUAAGGUCAACCUUCUUUACUUAGUCUACUCAUUCAAAUAUUAAUCUCUUGAGGGGGUGAAGGGGGGCUAGGAAUGGGG